AACAAAAAAAUAAAGUGGAGUAAUGAACGCAUAGCAGUAUUCAUCUUCCUCUCUCUGUUUCGCGUUUCCAAACACAACUCCAUGAAAAAACAAAAACAAAAAUUCCUCACGAAUUUUGCAAAAAAAACAAAAUCAAAACACAAAAUUAUCUACACAAACCCUCUCCAAAAUUUGUCCCUUAUCACAAAUCUAACCAUGAAAUCACAAAAAAAAUGAUACACAAACCAGAUCGGAGCACCCAAAACGAACCCUAAACUAACAAAAUCCUUCAAUCGACUCAAGUUUCACACAAUCAAACAUGGCUAGCAACAUGGAAUCAUAUUUCAAAAGAAAACUUAUAACAAAAUGAAAGGUAAGAGUGACUUAUUACCAAUCCGAAAGUUAUCGGAGCUACGAUUCCUUGAGGACAAAAGGGCUUUUCUGCUUAGAAAAGCAGAUGCAGCAGAAGAUGGAAAGAUAAGCCAUUUUGUGUUAUUUUGGGUUAAGCAGAUGCAGCAGAAGAUGGAAAGAUAAGCCAUUUUGUGUUAUUUUGGGUUACUGCAAAAAAUAAACAUGUAGUAAACUUUGAUAUGUUUUGAAAUAUUUCUUGUUUUAUAAUGUUUGAAGUUACUGUAGAAAUUUGUUGUGAAUUUUCUGAUGUAAUUGAAGUCCCUUUUGUUAA